AUGAACCGAGAAGCUGACUGCCCCACAGACCUGGAAAUGGCCGCCCCCAAAGGCCAAGACCGCUGGUCUCAGGAAGACAUGCUGACUUUGCUGGAAUGUAUGAAGAACAACUUCCAUCCAAUGACAGCUCCAAGUUCAAAACCACCGAGUCACAUAUGGACUGGGAAAAAGUAGCAUUUAAAGACUUUUCUGGAGACACGUGCAAGCUCAAAUGGGUGGACAUUUCUAACGAGGUGAGGAAGUUCUGAACAUUGACAGAAUUGAUCCUUGAUGCUCAGGAACAUGUUAAAAAUCCUUACAAAGGCAAAAAACUCAAGAAACACCCAGACUUCCCAAAGAAGCCCCUGACCCCUUAUUUCCACUUUUUCAUGGAGAAGCAGGCCAAGUACGCAAUGCUCCACCCUGAGAUGAGCAACCUGGACCUGACCAAGAUUCUGUCCAAGAAAUACAAGGACCUGCCAGAGAAGAAGAUGAAAUAUAUUCAGGACUUCCAGAGAGAGAAACAGGAGUUCGAGCGAAACCUGGCCCGGUUCAGGGAGGAUCACCUUGACCUAUUCCAGAAUGCCAAGAAGUUGGACAUCCCCGAGAAGCCCAAAAACCCCCCAGCAGCUGUGGUACACCCACGAGAAGAAGGUGUACCUCAAAGUGCGGCCCGACGCCACUGCGAAGGAGGUGAAGGACUCCCUGGGGAAGCAGUGGUCUCAGCUCUCGGACCAAAAGAGGCUGAAAUGGAUUCAUAAAGCCCUGGAGCAGCAGAAGGAGUAUGAGGAGAUUAUGCGUGAAUAUAUCCAGAAACACCCUGAGCUGAACAUCAGUGAGGAGGGCAUCACCAAGUCCACCCUCACGAAGGCCAAACGCCAGCUCAAGGACAAGUUUGAUGGGUGACCCACAAACCCACCUCCCAAACAGCUACUCGCUGUACUGAGGCGAGCUGAUGGCCAACAUGAAGGACGUGCCUAGCACCAAGCGCAUGGUCCUGUGCAGCCAGCAGUGGAAGCUGCUCUCCCAGAAGGAGAAGGCUGCCUACCACAAGAAGUGUGACCAGAAAAAGAAAGGCUAUGAGGUGGAACUGCUCCGUUUCCUAGAGAGCCUGCCUGAGGAGGAACAGCAGCGGGUCUUUGGGGAGGAGAAGAUGUUAAGCAUCAACAAGAAGCAAGCCACCAGCCCAGCCUCCAAGAAGCCCUCACAGGAAGGGGGCAAGGGCGGCUCCGAGAAGCCCAAGGGGCCGGUGUCAGCCAUGUUCAUGUUCUCUGAAGAGAAGCGACGGCAGCUGCAAGAGGAGCAGCCCGAGCUCUCGGAGAGCGAGCUGACCCGGCUUCUGGCCCGCAUGUGUAAUGACUUGUCGGAAAAGAAGAAGGCCAAGUACAAGGCCCGGGAGGCGGCGCUGAAGGCCCAGUUGGAGAGGAAGCCGGGCGGGGACCGUGAGGAACGGGACAAGCUGCCAGAGUCACCCAAGAGAGCUGAGGAGAUCUGGCAGCAGAGCGUCAUCGGGGACUACCUGGCCCGCUUCAAGAAUGACCGGGUGAAGGCCUUGAAAGCCAUGGAGAUGACCUGGAACAACGUGGAGAAGAAGGAGAAACUGAUGUGGAUUAAGAAGGCAGCCGAAGACCAAAAGCGAAACGAGAGAGAGCUGAGUGAGGUGCGGGCGCCCCCCGCUGCUGCAAACUCAUCCAAGAAGAUGACGUUCCACGGAGAACCGAAGAAGCCUCCCAGGAACGGUUACCAGAAGUUCUCCCAGGAGCUGCUGUCCAACGGGGAGCUGACCACCUGCCACUGAAAGAGCGCAUGGUGGAGCUAGGCGGUCGCUGGCAGCGCAUCUCCCAGAGCCAGAAGGAGCACUACAAAAACUGGCGGAGGAACAGCAGAAGCAGUACAAAGUACCCCGGCACCUCUGCGUCAAGAGUCUGUCUCCCCAGCACCAAGCAGCAUAUAAAGAGUACAUCUCCAAUCAACGUGAGAGCAUGACCAAGCUGCGCGGCCCAGGCCCCGAGUCCAGCCGGACUGCCUUGCAGUCCAAGUCGGAGUCUGAGGAGGACCGCGAAGAGCACGAGGAGGAAGACGAGGACGAGAAUGAAGAGGAGGACGACGAUGGGAACGGGGACUCCUCUGAGGAUGGCGGGGAAUCCUCCGAGUCGAGCAGCGAGGACAAGAGUGAGGACGGAGUUGAGAACGAGGAGGACGACGAGGAUGAGGACCAGGAGUCUGAGGGCAGCAGCCCCAGCUCCUCUUCCUCAGGGGACUCCUUGGACUCUGAUUCCAACUGA